rnacentral:rRNA from 1 species
AUUGAACGCUGGCGGCAUGCUUUACACAUGCAAGUCGAACGGCAGCACGAAAGAGCUUGCUCUUUUGGUGGCGAGUGGCGAACGGGUGAGUAAUGCAUCGGAACGUACCGAGUAAUGGGGGAUAACUGUCCGAAAGGAUAGCUAAUACCGCAUACGCUUUGAGAAGGAAAGUGGGGGCUCUUCGGACCUCACGUUAUUCGAGCGGCCGAUGUCUGAUUAGCUAGUUGGUGGGGUAAAGGCCUACCGAGGCGACGAUCAGUAGCGGGUCUGAGAGGAUGAUCCGCCACACUGGGACUGAGACACGGCCCAGACUCCUACGGGAGGCAGCAGUGGGGAAUUUUGGACAAUGGGCGCAAGCCUGAUCCAGCCAUGCCGCGUGUCUGAAGAAGGCCUUCGGGUUGUAAAGGACUUUUGUUAGGGAAGAAAAGGAUAGUGUUAAUACCAUUAUCUGCUGACGGUACCUAAAGAAUAAGCACCGGCUAACUACGUG